GUGGACACAAGUCACGUGCAGUUCAUCAAGCUGGCUAGGGUAACCACAGUGCUGGGCAGGACAGGUUCGCAGGGACAGGGCACGCAGGUGCCAGUGAGAUUUAUGGAUGACACCAGCAGCUCUAUCAUCCAAACCGUCAAAGGCCCCUUUCGAGAGGGUGAUGUGCUCACCCUAUGGAAGUCAGAAAGAGAAGCUCGGUGGUUGCGCUGA
rnacentral:lncRNA from 1 species